rnacentral:misc_RNA from 1 species
GCACCCGCACGUAUAGACGGACAAGAAUAGGCUUCGGCUUAGUGUCUCAGCAGGCGAUUCCUCCGUGGUCCUCGAAGCGGGCCGCGGUAUUUCGCGUAUUGUAAUUUCAACACGAGCGGGGUUAAAUCCUUUGCAGACGACUUAGCUGUGCGAAACGGUCCUGUAAGCAGUAGAGUAGCCUUGUUGUUACGAUCUGCUGAGGGUAAGCCGUACUUCGCCUCGAUUUCCCCAACACAUCCUCCCUCGGGGGGGCGCGUAGGGGUUCUCUGGUGCGUUUUGGUUUUGGUCGGUUGCGAUCUUUCGACCUUCCCUCCGCGGGGAGGUGUAGGGUAGGUCGGUCCCGGGCUCCAGGGUAGGCGUCUCUCCCCUCGCCGGCCUUGGGCGUUCGUCUGCCUCUCUCUCCGGAGGUCUGGGUUCGCCCUCGCCCGCGGGCUCCAGGGUAGCUCCAGGGUAGGCGCCCCCCAGCGCGUUCGUCCGUGAGUCGAUUUGGCCGUUUUCCCAUACAGAUUAUUUUUGCGGAAAAUGCGAAUUGGACCGCGAGCCCAAGCCAGGCAGGCCAGGUCGCCCGCCCGUUCGCAGCCCCCUCGAGGGGCCCGGCCGGGGUCCAGGGCGAGCUCCAGGGUAGGCGGGGGGCGGGGGGUUUUUGGGAGACCUGGGGGCCUUGGGGCGCGCGGGGGGAGGGAGGGAGAGAGGGAGGGCGAGGGGGAAAAAACGGCCAAGUCCGGCGGGCGAGCCUACCCGGGAGCCGCGGCGGUGCGGGCCUUCCUGCUCCAGGGUAGGUACAGGGUAGGCGGGCAAGGGGCAGGCCGCUCCAGGGUAGGUACAGGGUAGCUCUGAGGGUCUAGGGUAGCUCCAGGGUAGGCGGGCGCCUCAUAUAUACGGGUGCGCGGCUCCAGGGUAGCUCCAGGGUAGGCCCCUCGCGCACGUAUGCGUAGAUAUGUAGAUAUCUCGCUCCAGGGUAGCACUCCAGGUAGGCAUUAUCUGCUUAUUAGCUCUAGGGUAGGCGCUUUGUACGGGGAAAAAAGGCUGGAAAGCCGGGAAAAACAGAAAAGUUCGAAAAAAGAAAAUCGAAAACAAAAGUUAAGACGAAGACCUGUCCGCCACUUGCAGCGAGGGGAGCCGGAAGGGCACCGUCUGUGUCUAUGGUUUUGUGCCCGGGUCCCAGGGUAGGCCGCCCUCCACGCAUAUCCGUCCACCCAAAUGCCCACACGCGCCGCCGGGCAGCUCCAGGGUAGCACUCCGGGGUAGGCGGCUCCGGCGUAGGUCGUCCCCAGCCUGUACGGGCGUUAUAUGGGCACUUCGCCCCGGGGCGGCUCCAGGGUAGCGCUACAGGGUAGCACCUUUCGGGGCCUUAUACGGGCAUUUAUAUGGGCAUUUCGCUCUAGGGUAGGCUAUAUUCGGCCCGGGCUAGGUGCUAAUAGCUACAGGGUAGGCGUUUCCCUCGAAAAAGGCCAAGUUCGGAAAAUCUGGCUAGUUUGGUUUUUUUUUUGUAUGGCCGUGAGUCGAUUUGACCGAUUUCCCAUACAAAUGAAUUUUGCGGAAAAUAGGAAUUGGACCACGAGCCCAAAACUGGCGGCCAACCCCGCCCAUUUGGUCGGAGGACCUACGAGAGGAAAGGGGAAAACCCAAAGGAAGCAGCUGAAAGGCGGCGGCCGGAGGGUUCCAACCUGACCGAUCAACUGUACCAUAUCUUGCAGACUUCAAGUUAUCGCGCCCUUUUGAACAGGCUUGUAGGCUCCGGCCUCGCUAGCGAUCGGGCGUAACUCGUUGUCGACCCUCCCGAAAGCGGCUCCCCAGGGUGCACGCCGUACGGAGGUUGCCUGCUGUCGUCGAGGGUCCCCUAGGGGUCCCCUGGCGCUGGCGGAUGGGUUCGGUGGGCAACUGGCCUUUCAGGCGAGCGGCAUCACUGAGCAACGGGGGGAAACCCGCCCGAAGCGGACGCCGCAAUGGUUGAUGCUUCGGUCCCGGGUCCCUCUACUGGGGCGCCCGAUGCCACGCUACAGCGCGGCGGAGGGAUGCCCUGGGAACUUGGGCGGGGGGAGCGGAUUGCUGCUCGCAGCGCGUGCCAGGCGACGUAAAAAUCGGCCGGGCGUGCGCAGCGGACGGCGCUGAUCGAACUGCCUCACGGCGGGGAGGUUGGCCUACCUAGUGAACUUGAAAUCGCUCCGGCAGCCGCGAGGCAGCCGGUGGGCGCGAGGGCUCAG